UAAAUAUUAUACACAUAAGUCGCAAAAAGGAAGGAAAGCUGUGGAAGUCACGCCUGAAAGAUAAGAAAUACUCAAAACUGUGCUACGUUCUAAAAAUGAUAUGGGACUUCUCUUGAGCAAUUAACCAAAUAGAUUGCGAGUGUUCACAGUACAUUUGAGAAAUACUAAAAACUGAGGAUUUUUGGUCUUGAGGGCACAAUACAGGGGGCAUCGAUGUUGCAGAAGCUGCCAUUGCAUCUCAACUGCAUCAAUUUUCAAUGGUAAGAUGGAUGGCC
rnacentral:lncRNA from 1 species